CAGCAGCCACGGUAAGACAGAGGAUGCAAGCGUUAUCCGGAAUGAUUGGGCGUAAAGCGUGCGCAGGCGGUUAUAUAAGACAGAUGUGAAAUCCCCGGGCUCAACCUGGGAACUGCAUUUGUGACUGUAUAGCUAGAGUACGGCAGAGGGGGAUGGAAUUCCGCGUGUAGCAGUGAAAUGCGUAGAUAUGCGGAGGAACACCGAUGGCGAAGGCAAUCCCCUGGGCCUGUACUGACGCUCAUGCACGAAAGCGUGGGGAGCAAACAGGAUUAGAUACCCCCGUAGUCCCUGUUCUCUUAUA
rnacentral:rRNA from 1 species